CCAUACACGAAUACCGCCAAAGUCAUUCUGCCUGUGUACCUUACAAUUUUCCACCUUCAAUAUCAUUAACAUGGUGGCAAUGCGAGCUUCUGAGAGGAAAAAGACCUUUAAUAUAUUGUUAUACUGUUUGUGGUAAUCAGCGGUGGCCUGUCCCACGAGCAUUCAUGCAUUUCCAAUUUACUUCCGAAACAGCAUAAGAAGUUUCUUUCCAGAAUACUCGGAGAAGUUACUUGUGUUUCAAAAAGUUCAAGGAAGGCCUUACGUCAUAGGUUUAGCGCAAUUUACUGACGACGUUGCUUGCACUGACUUGUGGCGCUCGAUAAACAUGGAGUUGUCUCGAUAGAUGUCUCGCAAGUCUGCUCAAUUCCCACAGUUCAAGCAGACGGUAAAGAUAAGAUAGAACACAACCAGGAGAAGUUUCGGGACAGGAUUCUGAUCAGGACCUUGAUCGAUCACAGUGACAACUAUCGAACUCUGGAGUAGCGGCCGUAUAUUUCAGCAGAUUAUUUUCUACGAACGUGUUCUGAUCGUCAAAUUGCUGGAGUAUUCCUGAACCAUGAGAGCAGGAC